CGGCGGACGGGUGAGUAAUGCCUAGGAAUCUGCCUGGUAGUGGGGGACAACGUUUCGAAAGGAACGCUAAUACCGCAUACGUCCUACGGGAGAAAGCAGGGGACCUUCGGGCCUUGCGCUAUCAGAUGAGCCUAGGUCGGAUUAGCUAGUUGGUGAGGUAAUGGCUCACCAAGGCGACGAUCCGUAACUGGUCUGAGAGGAUGAUCAGUCACAAUGGAACUGAGACACGGUCCAGACUCCACGGGAGGCAGCAGNG
rnacentral:rRNA from 1 species